rnacentral:lncRNA from 1 species
GGUUCCAGGAGCCCCAGUCCAGCUCCUGACCUAUUUUUCUCAGCUGCCCAAUGUGUAGAGUGAAUACACUAAGGAAUUUAAGAGCUUACAAACUGAUUUUUAUGGAAGUCAUCAAGAGUGGAGAAGGCUGAUUUAAAAAUCAACCAUGAUUUUAAACAGGGGCUGAAAACUGUGGCUUACGAGGCAAGAUUGCAAGUUUGUGAAAAGUUUGAGCCAAAGAAAGUAUUCUUUAUGAAGACAAGUAAUUCGAUUUAAAAGGAAAAUUUAAAUGAGGCAUUAGGAACUGAACUGUGAAUUCAAUUAGGCUGUAUAUUGGACUUUCAAAAGAAGCAGUGAAAAACUCUAUAGCUUUUAUUGAGGCAAAGAAAGGACAUGUGUUAAGGCUUUAAGAUACAAGAUACUUCAAUGAAUAAAACAAAGACCUUUGCUUUCCUGAAACUUGAGAUCAAAUGGAGGACACACAAAAACAACGCACCUACAAAUCACCAUAUUGUGUGUCAGGAGCUGAGGAUGCUAUGAAAACCCCUUGAGGAAACAAAGGCACCUUGGGGGCCAUUGAGAACUCCUGACGAAGAGGGCUCAGCUGCCAGACCUGCUCAAGAAAGACCUCAGAAAUCUCUAUGGGGCUGUCAGAAGAAAAGGUUUGAAAAGGGUCUGGAGAGACUGAAAUUUGUCUGCCUUGGACUUUUCUUUUGACAAUUCACAUCCAACUUAAGCAGAAUCAUUGUUUAUUCUUAUUAUGCCAGGUUUCCUUUUCUGGUCUGCAGGUUCUCUAGGGUUUCAUAGGCUAGUAGUUGGAAUUUUCAUAUUUCCAAAGCAUUGGGGAUUUUGCAAAAACAAAAUCUAAAGGAUAUUCAGCAGCACAGUUUACUUAGGAGGUUUUAAUCAUAAUAAUCUGCAUAAUGUAUGAGAAUUUCUACCUCAGCUGCCUCCUUUCUUUCUCUUUCGUGUCUGGGAAAAAGCCAGGGAUUUUUCCCUUCCUCUGAUUUAAAUACCUUAUAAAAUUUUGGUGGAAGCAUUUUGUCCUAUUCUGUCUUCCUGAUUCAUUUUCUGCUGUAAUGAGCAAAAUUAAUUUGCAAGAGCUGCUACUGACAUAGUGUAAUAAACUGGGUCAUAGGUAGAAUCAGUGCCGCCUUAUGACCCUUAGCUGUCAUUGCUUUAAGGAAUUUGGCAUGGUCCUCGAAGGCCAGAAGGCAAUGUGGGUUGCAUCCUACAGCUUUUGAGAUCUCAGAGACUUACUGCACCCAUGGCUGGGAAUGAACUGUAAAUGCUGACACUGGUAACUAGGUGCCAAACUGAAGUGAUCACAACCUAAUCUGAGCCAAAAGGCAUUUCUUUGCAUCAGGCAUAAAGCAACAUCAAACUCCCAUAACCCACACACAACACAGAAAUCAUUACUGAAGAGAUUCAACAUCAUCAUGCCAGACACUAAGUGAGUUAUUUCUCUCCUUCCCUGUCUCACCACAGUUUCCUCCCACUUGGUCACACAUGGUAAGCAUUCAUGUGUGCGAAGGCAUUUUAUGCCUUCGACCUAACCCCGACCACAGUCCCCUAGUCUUAUCAGAGAUCUGCACUCCCCACCAUUUGAGCACGAUGGAGUGCAUAUUUCCAGUGCAAAAAGACUGAUAUCAUUAUGAUUUUCAUUAACUAGUUGCCAGCUUGCAUUCUUUUUUCUCCCUUUUUUUCUCUCUCAACAGCACUUCUGUCCUCAGCCCAACCCCAGCCAGAAAAGGUGUUGCUACAUUCAGUGAAAAAUUAUUAUUAGUAUAGACAUGAAAUUUGAUGAUAAUGUAGAUUGUUUUGUGUCAUCUGCAGGCUGUCACAAUACACUCUGCAUCACUGAAAUGUGUUGACCAGAAGGAUGAUGGUGUUGUCAUGAUACUGAGGUCUUUUAAUUAAUUACUUUGUGACUUUCAUAGCAUUUAGAAAACGGAGAACAGGGUAUUUUCUUGAACAGCCUAGCCAAAUGAAAAACUGGUUACUAAUGUAUGUUAUCUUCAUGAAUGAAGGCAUAAAAUAAUAAAAACAAACAAAUUAAAAAUUGUUAAUAAAUUAAUAACUAAUAAAAAUAAAUAAAAUAAA